rnacentral:rRNA from 1 species
CCUACGGGAGGCAGCAGUGAGGAAUAUUGGUCAAUGGACGAGAGUCUGAACCAGCCAAGUAGCGUGAAGGAUGACUGCCCUAUGGGUUGUAAACUUCUUUUAUAAAGGAAUAAAACGAGGCACGUGUGCCUUUUUGCAUGUACUUUAUGAAUAAGGAUCGGCUAACUCCGUGCCAGCAGCCGCGGUAAUACGGAGGAUCCGAGCGUUAUCCGGAUUUAUUGGGUUUAAAGGGAGCGUAGAUGGGUUGUUAAGUCAGUUGUAAAAGUUUGCGGCUCAACCGUAAAAUUGCAAUUGAUACUGGCAGUCUUGAGUACAGUUGAGGUAGGCGGAAUUCGUGGUGUAGCGGUGAAAUGCUUAGAUAUCACGAAGAACCCCGAUUGCGAAGGCAGCUUACUAAACUGUGACUGACAUUGAUGCUCGAAAGUGUGGGUAUCAAACAGGAUUAGAUACCCUGGUAGUC